AUUGAACGCUGGCGGCAUGCCUUACACAUGCAAGUCGAACGGCAGCACGGGAGCAAUCCUGGUGGAGAGUGGCGAACGGGUGAGUAAUAUAUCGGAACGUGCCCAGUCGUGGGGAUAACGUAGCGAAAGUUACGCUAAUACCGCAUACGAUCUAAGGAUGAAAGCGGGGGAUCGCAAGACCUCGCGCGAUUGGAGCGGCCGAUAUCAGAUUAGGUAGUUGGUGAGGUAAAGGCUCACCAAGCCAACGAUCUGUAGCUGGUCUGAGAGGACGACCAGCCACACUGGAACUGAGACACGGCCCAGACUCCUACGGGAGGCAGCAGUGGGGAAUUUUGGACAAUGGGCGGCAAGCCUGAUCCAGCAAUGCCGCGUGCAGGAUGAAGGCCUGGUUGUAACGUAG
rnacentral:rRNA from 1 species